AGCUUUUUAGGCAAAAUGAACUAUGGAAAGCACGUCCUUCACCAUAAGUUGCUUUUGUCUGUUUUUCAACAUUAGCCUUUGGCCUGAAGGUCAACAGCUACAGCCCUGCUUUAGGACACUGCUCAACUUAUGUCCAUGCUGAAGUUGGCUCAGUAUGCUCCAUGUACUUUUUUAUUCUUCAUGGACCAGCAGCUACCUGAGACUUGUUCUCAACACAGUGAAUCACUGGAGUGAAUAAAGAUAAGUAGAAAUAUUUGAUAUCUUCUGUGGCUUUUGCCUGGAACUAGCACCUUCUCACUUCUCCCACAUUCCAUUGACCAAGUAUGUCACAAUCCCAACAUUAGUGAAACAGAGAAAUAUACCAUGCCUUUAGUGGGAGAACUAUAAAGUCAUAUGGCUAAAGGUAUGAAUGUAUAAAUAUAUUUAUGGAAAGUCAUGAAGAAUUGACAGCCAUGAUCCAAUAUCACACCAAAGAAAAAAGAAUUCUGCGGUGAUAUUUGAAAUAUCUGAUAUUCUUCUUUUCCACUACUUUUGUAGCAAUGGAAUAACUAUGACUUUGUUGCGCAUACAAUACUUGUUGAGAUUUGGUAACACAAUGAAGUCUUCACAGGACAUUGUCUUGGGACUUUCCCAUAUCUAGGGUAAUGAAAGAGACAUUGGCUCAUAUCUGUAAUCCCAGCACUUUGGAGACUGAGGCAGUUGAAUUGCUUGGGCCCAAGAGUUCUAGAGCAGCCUGGGCAAAUGAUGAAACCCCGUUUCUACAAAAAAAUACAAAAAUUAGCCGAGUUUGGUGGCACGUGCCUGUAGUUCCAACUACUGGGGAGGCUGAGGUGGGAGUAUCACUUGAGCCCUGGAGACAGAGGUUGCGGUGAGCCAAGAUCACACCAUUGCAUUCCAGCCUGAGUGACAGAGUAAGG
rnacentral:lncRNA from 1 species